UUUUGCUUAAAGAAAAACAGGGGAAAUCAUUCUCGAAUUUAAACAGACUGCUGAAGUUUCGGGAAAGGUUUUAAGUAUGACCUGCGGCUGUGAAGGACUUUAGACAUGUGACCACUUGGACAAACUUUUUUUUUUCUUUCAAUUUCUCCUCCACAUCAAGCUUGACUGGGAUCUUCUCACACCACAACAUUCCAAAAUACCAUCACGCUCACCACCCUUCAGCUCCAAAAGUCUAAGCUGUUGACAACUGCCUCAUCCAGGUAAGCUCAACCAGAAGCCACAGUCACAGGGGCUUGGGAAACCCCGCCUGCAAAGGUCAACCUCUCUGCAAGGAGUUACAGGAAGCUGACAGAGCAAGAGAAGGAUUAAGAAUGAUGACAAACAGGCUGAGGACUGGUUGAAACCAUCAGCAGAACUAAGAGACAACCGCCAUUUGUUGAAGUAGAGCGCCAGGCACAGAAUUUCCUUUUUCAUACUCAUUUUACAAUGAGUCUUGGAGAUUGGAAAGAGAGAGCAACAGCUGUGACUACUGACAGAAUGGAGUUUCAGGGUAGAUGAAGAAAUUGAGGCAAGAGGACAACCACUGCUCAAUUAUUCAUUAAGUCAACAUGUGGAGCACCUACUUCGGUAUGUGCUAGGUUCUGUGUGGUACUGAGAGGAACCCUAGUGAGUUUUAAAUUUCUCAGUUACUCAAGUCUCCCUUCA